AGCAACGCCGCGUGAGUGAUGAAGGCCUUCGGGUUGUAAAGCUCUGUCUUUGGGGACGAUAAUGACGGUACCCAAGGAGGAAGCCACGGCUAACUACGUGCCAGCAGCCGCGGUAAUACGUAGGUGGCAAGCGUUGUCCGGAUUUACUGGGCGUAAAGGAUGCGUAGGUGGAUAUGCAAGUCAGAUGUGAAAUACCCGGGCUUAACUCGGGUGCUGCAUUUGAAACUAUAUAUCUAGAGUGCAGGAGAGGUAAGUGGAAUUCCUAGUGUAGCGGUGAAAUGCGUAGAGAUUAGGAAGAACACCAGUGGCGAAGGCGACUUACUGGACUGUAACUGACACUGAGGCAUGAAAGCGUGGGGAGCAAACAGGAUUAGAUACCCUGGUAGUCCACGCCGUAAACGAUGGGUACUAGGUGUAGGGGGUAUCGACUCCCUCUGUGCCGCAGUUAACACAAUAAGUACCCCGCCUGGGGAGUACGGUCGCAAGAUUAAAACUCAAAGGAAUUGACGGGGACCCGCACAAGCAGCGGAGCAUGUGGUUUAAUUCGA
rnacentral:rRNA from 1 species